rnacentral:rRNA from 1 species
GGACUACCCGGGUAUCUAAUCCUAUUCGCUACUCUAGCCUUCGUACCUCAACGUCAGUUGUUUCAGAGUAUUGUUUUCACCUUUAUCAGUCCCAUAAGUGUCAUAACAUUUGAUCUCUCUUCUCAUGGUUCUAUACAACUCCUUAUUUUUUAUAACUCUAGAUUAUUUUUUCAAAUUAUAAUCCGUCUAGGUACCCUUAAAACCUAAUAAAGAUGAUAAACACCAGUCUUUCUUGUAUUACCGCGGCUGCUGGCAC